CCAUAUUUGUUACAGAAAAACGACCAAAAAUAUGAAUAAAAUUCUCAUAUUUGUUUGUGUGAUCAUCUUCUUUAUUUCCUUACUUUCGAUAGUAAAUAAUGUAAAUGCCGGAAUUUGCUAUCCUUGUACCCUACAUUUGUAUUGUCAUAUUAUUUGUUAUCCUUUCAAAGGACAUUGUACUAACGGUCAAUGUAACUGCACUCGUGGGUGCAUGCUUAAUCCGUAAAAUUAAUGAAGCGGGUGUCUUCAUAUAGAGACCUACAACAAGGACAAAGGAAGGUAAACAUUAAUAACGUAAGUCACAAUUUUAGAAUAACUUAGUCUUAACUUAGUGUAGUUUUAGUGUAAAGAUAAAUAAGCCUUACAUGCAUAGAGCCUAAUAUUAUCCCGAAGACGUAGUGGACAAUUCUCCUUAUAGUUAUUUUAAGACAUCUUGUAAGAUUUAAAUGAAAUAUAUUUUGUUUUUUAGUGAGAAUGAUUUGAGUAUUAGCUCCUUUUAUGGUUCAAGCAUUAGAUCAUAUCUUUGUACUUAUCAAAGGUAUCGUUAUGCACAAUGUAUUUGCAAAGGUAUACUUAUCAGAAGAUUUGAAAAAAAAAAUUAUGUGAUUUAAUAUAAAAGUUCAUACAGUUCAACUAAAAAA